UACCAUGACAAUUCUAUUUUUUGAGGUUUAAAUGCAUUUUACUGUUCAUUCCUCACUCUAAAGAACCUUUAAAGCUGCAUUUUGAUUCGUUCAGGCAUUUAAGAGUUAAAAAAAAACCUGCAGCAGCCCCUAUCGUGCUGACGUCAGUACGAUGUGGACCGCCCCCCUCCAGGAAGAGUCUGCUUUGACAGCUCCGCCCCCAGACUAACACAACACUCAAUUUCUUCACAUGGCUAAAAACUUUAAUUUUAAAUGCAGAAUACCAUAUAUCUUCCAGUUAUGUCCUGUCUUCAAUAAAUUCCAGCUCAAAUAGGUGUUUGUUAAUUUGGGCGCGGCGCGCCUUUAAGACCUCACCACCCCCACCCCACCCCCGAUUUGCACAGCCAUUGCAGAAGCCGCGUGUGUUUGUGAAGCAGUCUGGGAUGGCCAGGCCUACUAAAGACAGAUAUAUGGAUGACGUUAUGAAGCGGACAGCAGAAACACGCAGCGGCAGGCGGAGCUUCAGGAAUCGAGCCGUUUUACUUCCGGCUGUAGCUCUGCUGGUGCACGCGACGGACCUUGAGGAUGCGGAUAAAAUCCUGCUUGUCCACGCGGAGGAAAUGGCAGUUGUCCUCCCUUAAGAUGAUGGUGGCGGCGCGAGGUGCGUCGUUCAGCAAAGCCAGCUGC